rnacentral:rRNA from 1 species
UACGUAGGGGGCAAGCGUUGUCCGGAUUUAUUGGGCGUAAAGAGCGUGUAGGCGGCUAGGUAGGUCCGUUGUGAAAACUCGAGGCUCAACCUCGAGACGUCGAUGGAAACCAUCUGGCUAGAGUCCGGAAGAGGAGAGUGGAAUUCCUGGUGUAGCGGUGGAAUGCGCAGACAUCAGGAGGAACACCGAUGGCGAAGGCAGCUCGCUGGGACGGUACUGACGCUGAGGCGCGAAAGCGUGGGGAGCGAACAGG